CCUACGGGAGGCAGCAGUUUCGAAUCGUUCACAAUGGGGGCAACCCUGAUGGCGCGACGCCGCGUGGGGGAUGAAGGUCUUCGGAUUGUAAACUCCUGUCAUUGGGGACUAACGGCCAGGCUCAUACCCUGGUUUGAAUUAACCCAAAGAGGAAGCAGUGGCUAACUCUGUGCCAGCAGCCGCGGUAAUACAGAGACUGCAAGCGUUACUCGGAUUCACUGGGCGUAAAGGGAGCGCAGGCGGAUUAGUGUGUCAGGCGUGAAAUCCCGGGGCUCAACCCCGGUACCGCGCCCGAAACUACUAAUCUAGAGACUUGGAGGGGUAAGCGGAAUUCUUGGUGGAGCAGUGAAAUGCGUAGAUAUCAAGAGGAACACCAACGGCGAAGGCAGCUUACUGGACAAGAUCUGACGCUCAGGCUCGAAAGCGUGGGGAGCAAAAGGGAUUAGAUACCCCUGUAGUCCACGCUGUAAACGGUGCGCAUUAGGUCUUGGAGCUUUCGAACGCUCCAGGGCUCAAGCUAACGCAUUAAAUGCGCCGCCUUGGAGGACGACGGCCGCGACGACGUAAACGUACGAAGAAGUUAGACGGCGUGAGACGUAGCCGACGGACGACGACGAGGGAGGAGG
rnacentral:rRNA from 1 species